rnacentral:rRNA from 1 species
UUUUUGGUUAAGUUACUAAGGGCAUAUGGUGGAUGCCUUGGCACCAAGAGGCGAUGAAGGACGUGGCUACCAACGAUACGCGUCGGUUAGGCGGAAGCAGCCUGUGACCCGACGAUCUCCGAAUGGGGCAACCCUCCGAGAGUCAUGUCUCGGAACUUCCCGCUGAAUUCAUAGGCGGGAGUGAGCAAACUGGGAGAAGUGAAACAUCUCAGUAACCCAAGGAAAAGAAAACAAACGUGAUUUCCCCAGUAGCGGCGAGCGAAAAGGAAAGAGCCUAAACCAUCUGAUACGUUCAAGGAGACGACCGUUGUAUCAGAGGUGUCGUGGGACUUUCAGGCCGAAUCGUCAAUAGGCCAGGGAGUGACAAAUCAUUUUCUUAGCAGAAUCAUCUGGAAAGUUGAACCACAGAGGGUGAUAGUCCCGUACGCGAAAAGAAGAUGACUCCCGAAAGUAUCCCAAGUACCACGGAGCAAGUGGAAGUCUGUGGGAAUCAGCCAGAACCAUCUGGUAAGGCUAAAUACUUUUUGGUGACCGAUAGUGAACAAGUACCGUGAGGGAAAGGUGAAAAGAACCCUUCAGAAGGGAGUGAAAUAGUACCUGAAACCAUGUGCUUACAAACGGUCGGAGCAAUCCCGAUGAUGCUUGCAUCGUCGGGAGAGUGACGGCGUGCCUUUUGUUUAAUGAGCCUACGAGUUGCUCGUACGUUGCAAGGUUAAGGAUCUCAGAUCCGCAGCCGUAGCGAAAGCAAGUCCUAACCGGGCGCAGGUCCCGACUUCCGUCGGGACGAGUAACGUGCGGCAGACGCGAACCCGAGUGAUCUACCCUUGGUCAGGGUGAAGUGAAGGUAACACUUCAUGGAGGCCCGAACCAGUGUGGGUUGAAAACCGCUUGGAUGAACUGAGGGUAGGAGCGAAAGACCAAUCAAACUCGGAGAUAGCUCGUACUCCCCGAAAUAGCUUUAGGGCUAGCCUCGUGUCAUAAUAUCACGGAGGUAGAGCACUGAUUGGGCUAGGGGCGUCACAACGCUACCAAACCCAGACAAACUCCGAAUGCCGUAGAUAUGUUUCACGGGAGUCAGGCGACGAGGGAUAAGCUUCGACGCCGAGAGGGAAAUAACCCAGACCACCAGCUAAGGUCCCCAAAUCGAAGUUAACAGAGAAAGGAUGUUGAGUUGCUCAGACAACUAGGAUGUUGGCUUAGAAGCAGCCAUUCAUUUAAAGAGUGCGUAAUAGCUCACUAGUCAAGCGACUCAGCGCCGACAAUAAUCGGGACUCAAACUUCGUACCGAAGCUGUGGAUUUUUGCCGCAAGGCAAGAGUGGUAGGGGAGCAUUCCAUCAGCAGCGAAGGUGUGGCGCGAGCCAUGCUGGAGCAGAUGGAAACGCAGAUGUAGGCAUAAGUAACGAUAAUGCCGAUGGGAAAUCGGCACACCGAAAAUCUAAGGUUUCCUGAGCAACGUUAAUCGUCUCAGGGUUAGUCGGGCCCUAAGCCGAGGCCGAAAGGCGUAGGCGAUGGAAAACAGGUUGAAUAUUCCUGUACCUAUGUGCAGUCGCCUGACCAUAAGGGGUGACGCAGGAGUGAAGUCGAGCCAGCUGUUGGAUUAGCUGGUUUAAGCCGGUAGGCGUCUCGGGUAGGCAAAUCCGCCCGGGAGUUAUCGCCGAGAGGUGAACAGGGUGCCCGUAUGGGCCACAACUCGACGUAAUCAUGCUGCCAAGAAAAACCUCGUAUGGGAGACUGCAGGUAGUCCGUACCGUAAACCGACACAGGUAGAUGAGAAGAGAAUUCUAAGGUGCUCGAGUGAGCCGUGGUUAAGGAACUCGGCAAAUUAACCCCGUAACUUCGGGAGAAGGGGUGUCCCGAUCGGUAUAUGCCUCGCGCGAAAGCUGAUCGGGAUCGCAGUGAAAUGGGCCAAGCGACUGUUUAUCAAAAACACAUCUCUCUGCUAAGCCGUGAAGGCGAUGUAUAGGGAGUGACACCUGCCCGGUGCCGGAAGGUUAAGGAAGCGGGUCAUCCCGACGAAAGUCGGGAGAAGCUUGCGACCGAAGCCCCGGUAAACGGCGGCCGUAACUAUAAACACUGUUCCUACCACAGUAUUGUAGUUGUAAAAUUUGGCUAUAUGCUGGAAACUCCGUUUGUAUCCUCCACUACUCAUCCCGCUCCGGGAUAGUGACAAUGUGCGAGGUGAUUCCCGACUAACAAUGUCGGGAUGACGGACAAUCAGCAGGAAAGACUUGAAAUGAUCGACCUCCAUAAAGUCCCACCGUCGAUCGGCUAUUACCUUGCAGGUUUUGCCGAUGGCGAAGGGAGCUUCAAUGUCUCCUUCCGACCGCGCAAAGAUUAUGCACUUCCAUGGAAAGUCUCAGCGUGUUUCAACAUCUCGCAGAAGGACAAAGUGAUCCUUGCUCUGUGCAAGCGUCAUUUUCAAUGCGGCACGCUCCGAGUCCGACCAGAUGGGGUGUGGUACUACGAAGUCAACAAUAUCAAUGCGCUGAAGGAAAACAUCAUUCCCUUCUUCAAGCGGUUUCGGUUUCUCUCGGCGAAGAAGAAACGUGAUUUCUCAAAGUUUCUUCAGAUCGUCGAGCUGAUCGACCGCAACCAGCAUUUGCACGAAGAAGGUAUCAAAACAAUCCUUGCAAUCCGUCGCGAAAUGAAUGAUGGGGGCAAACGGAGGUUCUCGGAUGAAGAGAUUCUCCAAGCGUUCAAGAAUCCUCAGAGACUAUACGCCAAAUCUCCGCCCGAGGGCGGAGAAUGAUAUAGUCCGUUCUUCGUAGCGAUACGAAGAGUGUCCGUUGCACACGGACACCGUGAAGUACGAGAUUCGUACAAAGCGUAACACCAAGAACGGUCCUAAGGUAGCGAAAUUCCUUGUCGGGUAAGUUCCGACCUGCACGAAUGGUGUAACGAUUUGGCCACUGUCUCAACCACGGGCUCGGUGAACUUGUGGUACCGGUGAAGACGCCGGUUACCCGCACAUGGACGGAAAGACCCCGUGCACCUUUACUGCACCCUAGCAUUGGGUUCGGUCAUAGCAUGUGUAGCAUAGGUGGGAGACGUUGAAGCCGGGGCGCUAGCUUCGGUGGAGUCACCAGUGAAAUACCACCCUUGUUCUGAUUGAAUUCUAACCUGCUGCCGUGAAUCCGGUGGAGGGACAAUGUUAGGCGGGUAGUUUGACUGGGGCGGUCGCCUCCUAAAAGGUAACGGAGGCUCUCAAAGGUUCCCUCAGCAUGGUCGGUAAUCAUGCGUCGAGUGUAAAGGCAUAAGGGAGCUUAACUGCGAGACCUACAAGUCGAGCAGAUGCGAAAGCAGGACUUAGUGAUCCGUUGGUUCCGAGUGGAAGGGCCAACGCUCAAAGGAUAAAAGGUACGCCGGGGAUAACAGGCUGAUCUUGCCCAAGAGUUCAUAUCGACGGCAAGGUUUGGCACCUCGAUGUCGGUUCAUCGCAUCCUGGGGCUGGAGAAGGUCCCAAGGGUUUGGCUGUUCGCCAAUUAAAGCGGUACGUGAACUGGGUUCAGAACGUCGUGAGACAGUUCGGUCCCUAUCCUGUGCGGGCGCAGGAAACUUGAGGGGUGUCGCUCCUAGUACGAGAGGACCAGAGUGAACGGACCGACGGUGUACGAGUUGUCACGCCAGUGGCAGCGCUCGGUAGCCAUGUCCGGAUGGGAUAAGCACUGAAAGCAUCUAAGUGCGAAACCCGCCCCAAGAUGAGGUUUCCCGCUUCUUCGGAGGCUAAGACCCCAAGGAGAUUACUUGGUCGAUAGGCCGCAGAUGUAAACGCAGCAAUGCGUGAGUCGAGCGGUACUAAUAGGUCGAGAGACUUAACCAUUAAUUUUUAUU